rnacentral:tRNA from 1 species
AAUUAUAUAGUCAAUUAUGAUUUUAAAUUGCAAAUUUAAAGGUAUAUGUAAAUAUUAUAAUUU